rnacentral:misc_RNA from 1 species
AAGUCGUAACAAGGUAACCGUAGGUGAACCUGCGGUUGGAUCAUUAAAAAAAAAAUAAUCCAAUUUUUAAGGUUAUUUUCAAUUUUGAUUGUUUUUUUUUUUUAAAACAUGAAAAAAAGAAAAUCUCCUUAAUUUUUACACACCUAUGUGAACAUUUUAAAUGUUUUUUUGGUAGUUUUUUUAAUAAUUAAUUUUAUUUUUUUUGGGUUGUUGUUUUAUUAUUAUAAUCCAAAAAGAACAAAAAAAAAGAUUUUUAAAACUGCCAAAAUGUUAUAUUAAACCCCAUUAUUUUUUUUUUGAACUGAUUUCUUUUUUAUUCUUUUGAAUCUUUAAAAUUUUUUUUAAAGUGAAAAAAGUCUCAAAUGAAAAAAACAACUUUUGACAACGGAUCUCUUGGUUCUC